GCGAGUGGCGCACGGGUGAGUAACGCGUGGGAAUCUGCCCAACAGUAUGGAAUAACAGUCAGAAAUGACUGCUAAUACCGUAUACGCCCUUCGGGGGAAAGAUUUAUUGCUGUUGGAGGAGCCCGCGUUAGAUUAGCUUGUUGGUAAGGUAAAAGCUUACCAAGGCGACGAUCUAUAGCUGGUCUGAGAGGAUGAUCAGCCACACUGGAACUGAGACACGGUCCAGACUCC
rnacentral:rRNA from 1 species